GACUAACCGUUAUAGGUCCAAGAGCCACAAGCGCACCAAACCAAACCAAACCAGCAUUAAAAUCCUAUGGGUGAAUUUUAUUGAUUCUAGAAUAACUUAAUGGGGUUAUUGCUCGCAUAAACAGGGUUUAAAUCGAAACAAAAAGUUGCUAAAAUCUUGUAUAUAUUUGUCAAAAUCUAGUAUAUGAAUGAAUGUAAUAUGAGUAAUAUGAGUAAAAGAGGUGAAUAUCAGUAUCAUUUCAAAGGCUGCAAAAAUGCAAGUAGUGAAAAACGAGGACCAAAAGACACUUUGUUUUGAUCUCCAGAAGACAUAGAAAGGCAAGUGACAAAUCCUCUUUUGAAAAAAAGUGAUUAGAAGAUGAUGAUAAUCUGAAGAAGCAAGGUUUGGAGGCAAGAUCUGGAGAAUAAGCUGCAAGCAGAAAAAUUUCCUAGCUCAAGCUAAAAAAGACUUAUAGAGUUGCUUUUGCCAUAUGUAAUUACGCAUCAUCGUGCAGCAUCGAAUGAAUCACUUGCCUAAUUCCACUGUUGGUAAAAAAUUUUUUUGUCUGGUUUAUGAGUUAGGACCUUUACUUAAAGAACAAUUAUAACACUACAGAACAAAUCAUGUUGGUAACCUGAGCAGCACUUUUAUUUAACUGGAAUGCACUAAAGAUGCAAUGCCUCAUGCUUUUUUUGGAACAACAUCGUGAUAACUAAUGUUUUUUGAGAUUAUGUCGGCGGGAUUAUAAAGUAUUAUAGUACUUCUCAAAGCUUAAGAUUGACAUGUUUAAAUCACCAUAAAGCUAGGAAAAAAUUUCAAAUUGAACUAGAGUUACAAGAUGUUAAAAAUAAAGGCACCGAAUUACUUUGUACACCUAACAAUGAAAGCAUAAAUUUAAUUGUUGUUAUAUAACACAUUCAAUUAUCAUUAUAUAACAAAAACUUGAAAAAUAGAAAUAUAAGCAAUAUUACUGCUUGAAGGUCAAAAUUAUAUGGGUAGCAGUCUGUAAGAAUUAUUUUCAAAAAUAGUUACAGCUUUAUAAGGUUACAAAAUAUGCAAACUUUAUUUAAAAAAUAACAUGUUUUUAACUUAUGAGAAAAAACAAUAUUGCAGUCACAUACCAUUUCAGAUUAUAUUGUGAAAAUUAAGUUACUUUUUCACAUAUUUCAAUGAUAUUAGAAUAACAUUCUACUAGGUUAGGUUAUCAAAACUGUCUUAAAUCAUCUUUCAAAAAACAGUUUUUACACACAACUUUAAUCUUACUUUGAUCUUACAGACAAAAAUGCAAGCUAAACUACAAAAACCAAUAACAUUUCAAAUAUUAACAAUAUACAAAAAAAGGACAAGAACAUAAUACACAAAAAAAUAAUAUAGUAGAUUUGACGUUUAUUGAAAAACACCUGGAUAUAGAAGAAACAAUAGCAAAAGACAUCAGACAUAGAAAAUUAGGGACACAAACAUUUUCACGUUACUAUUUUCUACAUCUCUAAGUACAUCUUUAUUGACAGAUAAAAAAAUAUAAAAGAAAACUAUCUCAUUUAGAACUAAAAUAAGCAUUAAAGAAAGCAAAAAAGCGAAAAAAGAAGAUAUUACUACAUUAGAGAAGUUAUUAAAUACAUAUUUUCCAAGCCAAACAUUCGAAUUUAAAAAAAAAAAACAGGCACAUCUGUUUCAAAAAGAUACAAAAAGUAGAAAGUACAAUAGCGAUUUCUUUAAACAACAUUCUUUAUUCAUAUAUUUUGCAAGUCUCAAGACAUCGAGUGGAUCUAUUGUUUUUAUUUAUACUGUGAUACUGAUACCCUUACGAAAAGAACUAUUGCCGAUUACAUAUAAAUAAAGUUAGUAAUAUAAAUAUUACUGACAAUCACACAAGAAUAUUACUAGGUAUU